rnacentral:rRNA from 1 species
GACGAACGCUGGCGGCGUGCUUAACACAUGCAAGUCGAACGGAAAGGCCCUGCUUUUGUGGGGUGCUCGAGUGGCGAACGGGUGAGUAACAUGUGAGUAACCUGCCCUUGACUUUGGGAUAACUUCAGGAAACUGGGGCUAAUACCGGAUAGGAGCUCCUGCUGCAUGGUGGGGGUUGGAAAGUUUCGGCGGUUGGGGAUGGACUCUCGGCUUAUCAGCUUGUUGGUGGGGUAGUGGCUUACCAAGGCUUUGACGGGUAGCCGGCCUGAGAGGGUGACCGGCGACAUUGGGACUGAGAUACGGCCCAGACUCCUACGGGAGGCAGCAGUGGGGAAUAUUGCACAAUGGGCGGAAGCCUGAUGCAGCAACGCCGCGUGCGGGAUGACGGCCUUCGGGUUGUAAACCGCUUUCGCCUGUGACGAAGCGUGAGUGACGGUAAUGGGUAAAGAAGCACCGGCUAACUACGUG